AAGUGUUCACACAGAGUUAGAUAGAGGACUAGAGGUAUGUACUGAUUGUUGCCAUUUAAAGGAUUGUUGUCAUUAUAAAGUAGGUGUCAACUAGGUGCGCAUUUCUGUGAGUUGUAAUUUGGGUAUUACAUGAAACAUUUUUAACGUUAUAUCACUACCAUCUAGUGGCCACUAUAAAUAAGUAACAAGGCUCCGGCACUUAAUGGCCAUGCUAAACCCCCAACAUUCACUUAAACACUUGUUCUCAUAAUCUCACAUAUGAAGGCGAGACCUGUAUCUAACUCUGUGUUCACCCCAUAUCUACCUGUUGUUCUCCUGACGUGUUUUAAAGAGUGUAAUUAUUUAUUGGUCCAGAAGAAGGAACAGCGUGUGAACGGUAGGGGAGGGGCAUUUUCUCCAUAUAGUAUUCUUCGUGUAGGUCAAAGCUAAGGUAUGGUGAAGUUUAUUUUUUUUUAGACAAAGAUGACACCAUUAGUCAUUCGGUGGGUUCCAUAAAACAAGGGGGUGCCGUGUUGACGCGUGCCGCCCAGCUCUCUGACUAAAGUGACAUCCUUGCACUCUUUUCUAGACCUUAACCUGUAGACUCUCCGGGAGUAUUUUUUGUGCUCAUAUCAGUUUUUGUACGCUCACCUUCAGUCUACGGAAGGAUGUCGGGUGUACGCACUCCACCUGUUCUGUUGCAAGGGUAUUUAACAGGUAGGGUCUUAGCGUUCUGAUAGCAAACUUUAGUUUUAGGACUUCUGUUUGGAAUAGUGAUUACACCCCAGACCACUACUGUUCUGACUUUCUCUUGGAUCAUAAGCACCUGAUCCUGCUGCAUUAGAAACAUUUCUGCCAGGGAGCUGGGUGAAUCACGAACAUUUGCUUGUUUACAGGUGACACUCUUCUGAAACAGUCAGUAAGGAAAACAACACCUACACUGUUUGAGUAGACCAGCCUGAUCUCGUGGGCACAAAUUGUUUUCCGUUUGAGUGAACAAAAGUGUGAAAACAGCAAUCGCUUUGGCAUCAUGAGGCUGGCGUGACUGACCUUACUGUUCAGAAACGACCCACAGAUACGAAAACGUGCACAAUCUGUGUUUUUUCAUUAGUGUCAGCAUAAACCCGCCAACAUCUAAAAUGUAACAUAUCUGUUUUGACUUGUCUCCUACAUUCAUUUUUAUGUGAAGGUAACUUUUGUAAGUACUGCAGUCAGUUAGUUACUGCAGGUAUAGAUUUUAAUAAAGUCAAUGUUCUUUUGUUCUACAUGCGCAAGACUGUUUGAAAAGAUUCAGCACCCUAUGACACUUGAUUAACUGCAUUCUGUGCUCUGCGUCAGUUCUAGGAAUGACAACCCAACUGUUUCCAUGGUGCCUAGGAUGGUGACGUCAUAGCUGAGAAUAUACACUGCCUUGCAAACAUAUUCAAGGCUCUGAACAAAUCUACCAUAUCACUGGAUUACAAAUGCUGGGAGACGAACACACACCCACCCACCCUGCAGGAAAGGAGCAGAAGGAUAAAACUUUUCGUCUUUCACACGCACACCCACGUAUUCUGAUGUCUCUUUGUCCUGUGGCUUUUAAUGUCGCUGUAAUAUGGAAGCCUGCAGAGGUUUGUGUGUGUAUGAGUCAUCGGUGGUCCCACCAGCUCUCUUCUCAUCGUCCUGAGCCAAGCCGACACAACAGGGUCACCCUGCACCUCAGGACACACGCCAGAGACCCAGCAUGUGAGAAGAGCUGCUGGCGGAGUAACUGGGAGCUUGUUCACAUGAUCCAGGCUGUCAGCUAGCCCAGUUGUUGCUGCUAGCUCAUCAUCCUAGCAGUUGUGGCUGUUUACCUCACAGUUGGCAGCAGAUUGGGACUGGGAGCUGGCUGGCUAACCGUAAUACAACGUUAGUUCUGAUCAUUUUUAGCAUAUCUUGGUCUCUGAGCUCAACCUUAGGUCCCACUGUCAUACUCACUGAUAUUUUGAACAGGCUUGGCUACUAGCUAGAGUGGACAUGACUUGAGGAACAUCAACGUUAGCGGCCAAACAUUGCGCAAGUAUGACAAAUCAGUAAUUAAAAUAUUCCAAAAAUGACAAAUACAAUUAUAUUUGUGGGGUUCCUAAUUUCAUUAAAUAAACAGAAAAAUGUGUUUGUCAUCAUUUGGCAGCUGCCUCAGACUUUUGGUAUAUAACAUAUUAUAUAGCUAGGCAACCCUAUAUUUAUUUUUACCCAAUUGCCUGGGGCCCCUACACAUAAAUACUAAGUCAAGUAAACCUCCUGUACUUUGGUGAAUAGACUCGCUCACCGCCUAACAUGUCCAUAAAUAAGAAAACACAAACAGAAGACAAUAUGUUGUACUGGACAUAACCCCUAUCCUCACACAGCACAACAUGGCACUUCAGUCAUUCCAAGUUGGCAUUAUCAGGAGUGUAUUGGCCACAUUUGAUUUGAAGCUAAUCAUAUUGCAAGUUGUGGCUAUGAACUGAGCAAUAUUUCUGACAUUAGAUUACAUCCAGUCUAGUCUCAACCAGCCACUUUAUACGUACAAGUUAACCAGCUAUAGCCUACAACACUAAAUUAAAUGUUCCUUCAAAUGGCUAACUAGCUGGCUUCUAUGGUAACGUUAUUUCAUCAGUCAACCAAGUUGUAACAGCCUUCAAAACUUUUGGGGGAAGGUUUCUGGGAAUGUUAUUACCAUUAUUCUAACUCCUUGUGAGAAGCCCUUCUGAUUUACGGUACAUGGUGGUGCUCAAAUAAGAAUGUUAGAAUUGAUUUCCAUUUAACUUAUGAGUUGAAAUUGGAAUUUAAUCACCAAAAUCCAUUUAAAACUAAUCAAUAAGAUAUAUGGACACUACGUCAAAACCAGGAGCUGUUCUUGGAAAUAUACCACAAACCACAAGAAGCCUUAUUUCUAUUAUUAUCCAGUUACCAUGUAAUUAGAACGGUAAAGAGUAAUGUAAUAUCAUACCCGUGAGGUCUCACAUAUUUAAUGGCUUUAAACCAAUCAGCAUUCAGAAUUUGAACCACCUAGUAAGUUUAUGAUUUGCAUUAGAGUUUGUUUGAAAGGAUAAAUAAUAAUGGAAUAUACUGUGGGAUAUUUCUCUUUAAUAUUGCAUGCUGUGUACUGUUUUAACCUUUGUGCUUUGAACAUUUUAUUUCAACCAACCAUUUAAUGUUUGGAAGAGGAUGGAUGGAGGCCUAAAAAAAGGCUAUUUAGCAUGCAAAGCUUGUUGUGCUGUGUGAAGUGGGUGGGACAGCCUAUGGGUUUGGGAGGAUUACAUUAAUUCAUCCAGAUCAUCGGGGGGAUCAUCAUUUGACAGAAUACAGCCUGCGCUGUGGCAAUAUGUUUACUUGUCUUUUAUAGUGCAUACAAUAAUAGUCAGGGAAAAAAGUCAUGUUGAUAGUUAUAGUUAGCAUUUUUUGUAAUGAUUUAUGGACAUAACCUUUUGAAGGGCUGAAUACCUCAGCUGUAGGCUAUAUUGUCGCCAUUUAGCUGAAUACAUUAUUGACCAAAAUUUGUUCCAGCCCUACAUAUGGCUGUAAAUCAAAAUGUAUGUAUAAAUUAAGCACUUAUCAAACUAUUUGGCAAAAAUAAUUAAAUGUGCCCGAAAAAUAUAUCUUUGAAAAUGUGUUUAUGGUGCUGGCCGUGUGCUAACAGAAACCAUAAUGAGAAAUGCAUAGAACGAGUUAUCUAUCCUUGGCUUUUAGAGGCAAUCUGGGUCAACUUGAGGGAGUAAAUGAAUGCAUUUCGGGAAGUGUGAUAUUUUAUAAGAGACCAUUGCACCUUUUUCUUUGCUUUCCAGAAAAGUUGAAAAGGAAGGUUUUGAGUGAGAAACAGAAGGGUUAAAAUUAAGAGACCACUGCAAAUUGAACGCUUCUGUUCCUCACUCGACUUUGCUUUUCAACUUUUUUGGAAAGGAAAGAAAAAGGUGCAAUGGUCUCUUAUUUUUUUCUGGAG
ensembl:lncRNA